GAUGAACGCUGGCGGCGUGCCUAAUACAUGCAAGUCGAGCGAACAGACGAGGAGCUUGCUCCUCUGACGUUAGCGGCGGACGGGUGAGUAACACGUGGAUAACCUACCUAUAAGACUGGGAUAACUUCGGGAAACCGGAGCUAAUACCGGAUAAUAUAUUGAACCGCAUGGUUCAAUAGUGAAAGACGGUUUUGCUGUCACUUAUAGAUGGAUCCGCGCCGCAUUAGCUAGUUGGUAAGGUAACGGCUUACCAAGGCAACGAUGCGUAGCCGACCUGAGAGGGGGAUAGGCCACACUGGAAGUGAGACACGGUCCAGACUCCUACGGGAGGCAGCAGUAGGGAAUCUUCCGCAAUGGGCGAAAGCCUGACGGAGCAACGCCGCGUGAGUGAUGAAGGUCUUCGGAUCGUAAAACUCUGUUAUUAGGGAAGAACAAAUGUGUAAGUAACUAUGCACGUCUUGACGGUACCUAAUCAGAAAGCCACGGCUAACUACGUG
rnacentral:rRNA from 1 species